rnacentral:rRNA from 1 species
GAGUUUGAUCAAUGGCUCAGAACGAACGCUNGCGGCAUGCCUAACNCAUGCAAGUCGAACGAUGCUUUGGGGNAUAGUGGCGCANGNGUGCGUAACGCGUNGGAAUCUGCCCUNGGGUUCGGAAUAACAGUNAGAAAUGACUGCUANUNCCNGAUGANGUCGAUAAGACCAAAGAUUUAUCGCCUGAGGAUGAGCCCGCGUNGGAUUAGCUAGUUGGUGUGGUAAAGGCGCACCAAGGCGACGAUCCUUAGCUGGUCUGAGAGGAUGAUCAGCCACACUGGGANUGAGACACGGCCCAGACUCCUACGGGGCGCAGCAGA